UGUCGUCGAUGAUGAUGAAUGUCUAAUCCCAGCUCUAUGAGACCUUUUGAAAAGGUCUGGGAAUUGAAUCAUAAUCCAACAUUUAUCUGAGCCCUCUU
rfam:Gossypium hirsutum cultivar TM-1 chromosome 15, whole genome shotgun sequence